CAGUCGCCGCGGUAAUACGGAGGAUCCGAGCGUUAUCCGGAAUUAUUGGGUUUAAAGGGUGCGUAGGCGGAUAGAUAAGUCAGUGGUGAAAGACGGUGGCUCAACCAUCGCAGUGCCGUUGAUACUGUUUAUCUUGAAUAUGGAUGAGGUAGGCGGAAUGUGGCAAGUAGCGGUGAAAUGCAUAGAUAUGCCACAGAACACCGAUUGCGAAGGCAGCUUACCAAGGCAAAAUUGACGCUGAGGCACGAAAGCGUGGGGAUCGAACAGGAUUAGAUACCCGCGUAGUCCAUGUCUCUUAUAC
rnacentral:rRNA from 1 species